UUGUUUUUGUUACGACAAUUUACGUUCAGACGACUAUUUGUUUAGGUGGAUGGUCCCAAGCCCCGAGAGGCAGGGGAACGGUGCUGUUCACGGUGUGUGUGUGUGUGUGUGCUUCACGGCCGGGUGGCCAAUCUCUAAUGAUCCUUCCGCAGGUUCACCUACGGAAA
rnacentral:misc_RNA from 1 species